rnacentral:lncRNA from 1 species
GCACUGCAAGUGUAACCUAGAUAUAUAUCAACAAAAUGUACUGUGCUAUUUUGUUGGGCACUUGGACUAUCAUGAUUUUAAGGUAGUGUUUGUUUCAUUAAGCAUUAAGCAUUAAGUGCUUCUUAAGUGGUGGACCAGGUUAAAAUUCAGAAAUAAGUGUUUUUUAAGUUGUUUGUUUAGAACAAGCAUUAAGAACUAAUUGGGAUAUUUCAGCGAUUUUGGACCAGCGAAAAUCUCACGCUUAAUUUAACUUCUUAAUGCUUGUUGUAUUAUUUAGACAAUUCUACCCUUAUAAAAAUUGUUUUUAUCAUCCAUAACCAUUAAGUAAUAUCACAGUCAGAUUCAUUGGCUUAGUUAAUGGCCUUUCCUUUGUCUGAUCACUUUGAAAUUUUUAUCAUAAGUUCCUGAAGAUUUCUGUUAUAUCAUAUCUAAAAUUUAGAAUUUUUAGACGAUCGAUUUGAAAGUUACAGAUUUUUUUGUGGUUGUUAUGUUUUACAAGAAAAAUUACGUUACAGUCAGAUUCGUUUGCUUAAUAAGUGGACUUUCUUUUGUCUGGUCACUUUAAAGGUUUUACUAUAUGUUCCUGACGAUUUCUAUUGUAUCAUAUCCAAAAUUUGGAAUUUUUAAACGAGUCGUUUGAAAGUUACAGAUUUUUUUGUGAUUGUCAUGUUUUAGAAGAAAAAUUACAGUCAGAUUCGUUUGCUUAGUAAGGGAUCUUUCCUUUGUCUGUUCACUUUGAAAUAUUUUUCAUAUGUUCAUGACGAUUUCUGUUGUACCAUAUCCAAAAUUUAGAAUUUUUAGACGAGCCGUUUAAAAGGUUAAGAUUUUUUUUUUAAAUAUCAUGUUUUAGAAGAAAAAUUGGCGUGUAUAGUUUUGUUGUUAGAACAUUUUUCUGUUUGUACGACGUAACAAUAUAGUGUAGUUACACAAAUAUUUUGGCUAAGGGUGAAACAUUCUCAUCUGAAGCACAACACUGAAUGGUCAACUUGCGCAACCAGAGUGCAAAUCAACUUUAGGUUUUUGGGUUAUGUGAUAAGGUACUGUGUAUUGUCAAAAUACUUUUCCAAUAAUAGGGUAACAUGGUCAAAAUCACACUUAUGCAUAAACAAACAAAUCAAAAACAGAACUUCUUAAAAAUGAUAACCAAACAACGUACUUUUCCAGCAUUCAGUGUUCAACAUCCAGCAUUAAGUAUCCAGCAUUAAGUAUCCAGCAUUAAGCAUCCAGCAUUCAGUAUCCAGCAUUCAAUAUUUUAAACAAACACACCCUAAGAUUAACCUUAUUGAGCUAGGACUAACUUAGAGCAAAAAGAAAUUCUCAAUGGAAUCUAAAGUAAGACUGGUUAGGCGACUCCAAAGACGGAAUAAAAUUUGGUUUAUGAUCAAACCAUACUCUCUCUUACAAGGAGUUGUGCACUUCUCUUUGAAGCUUUAUCUGCUGGAAAGUUCCCUUCUCUCAAAGUGUGUGAAAAACUCAGCGACAGAAACCAAGAUUUAACUUUAAUAGAUUGUUAAUAUAACUCCCAAGACAUAGAGUCAUUCUCAAAAACAGUAGCUGC